CCUUCGGGCUCUUUGAUGAUUCAUAAUAACUUUUCGAAUCGCAUGGCCUUGUGCUGGCGAUGGUUCAUUCAAAUUUCUGCCCUAUCAACUUUCGAUGGUAGGAUAGUGGCCUACCAUGGUUUCAACGGGUAACGGGGAAUAAGGGUUCGAUUCCGGAGAGGGAGCCUGAGAAACGGCUACCACAUCCAAGGAAGGCAGCAGGCGCGCAAAUUACCCAAUCCCGACACGGGGAGGUAGUGACAAUAAAUAACGAUACAGGGCCCUUUUGGGUCUUGUAAUUGGAAUGAGUACAAUGUAAAUACCUUAACGAGGAACAAUUGGAGGGCAAGUCUGGUGCCAGCAGCCGCGGUAAUUCCAGCUCCAAAAGCGUAUAUUAAAGUUGUUGCAGUUAAAAAGCUCGUAGUUGAACCUUGGGCUUGGCUGGCCGGUCCAUCUUUUUGAUGCGUACUGGACCCAGCCGAGCCUUUCCUUCUGGGUAGCCAUUUAUGGCGAACCAGGACUUUUACUUUGAAAAAAUUAGAGUGUUCAAAGCAGGCCUUUGCUCGAAUAUAUUAGCAUGGAAUAAUAGAAUAGGACGUUAUGGUUCUAUUUUGUUGGUUUCUAGGACCAUCGUAAUGAUUAAUAGGGACGGUCGGGGGUA
rnacentral:rRNA from 1 species